rnacentral:rRNA from 1 species
CUUGGUGCCAUUUCCGGGGAGGUCACACCUGUUCCCAUCCCGAACACAGCCGUUAAGCUCCCACGGGCCGAUGGUAGUGCGAUUGCGCGAGAGUAGGUAGGCGCCAGGA